AUUUAAGCUGUCUGGUUGUUUUUACUGAAUUCUUCCGAUACACUCCUAGUGUCCCUAUACCCCCUUUGGACAACCUUUGGGCCAUCAUCUUGCCCAGCUCGCCAUUUGUGCUCUUCAGGCCAGUUACAGAUAAGAAGGCCCCUGCUGAGCCAGUGCUCUGAUGUUUACACUACUCUGGGACUGCAAGUUAGAGAGAUGACAGCAGACCUCUAUCAGACUGUCAUAUUGUAAGCUAAAUUCAGUGUGAGAGAAGUAGAGGAUGGAGACGUAUAGAUGGUGCCAGCUGUCCAAGUGCCCGGCCGGCUGCCAGCAAGUAGCACUUUUCCGGAUGCCAAGCUGAUCCUACUGUUGCGUCUUCGUGAGUGAAGCAGGAACUCAGAGCUUUCCCUCAAGACUGCCUUCACCUGCUCCCACUCCGACUUCUUACUGCUCAACAUGCUGGGGGCCCCACAUACCAUGGAAAAGCUGUUAAAUGUUGGCAGGGUCUCUUGGAGGGCUGCGGAGGAAGCUUUAUGUGAGACUGAGUGUGGAACUGAAAAUGUAGAGCCACUCAGCCCAUCGUAGUUCUUAUUGGUGCUGGAAUGUGUGAAGCUAAAAUGGACCUUCUGAUAUACACUUAGGGACUAUUGGAAACUUGCAUAAUAGAUGAGAGCCCAUCAGUGGAAGCCAGAGAAGUAAACCUUGCUUCUCAUUUGGAUGAAACUAUUAGUUUCCUGUUUGUAAAUGAUAGUUGUUUGAGUGAAUUUUAUUUUUACAGAAAAUAUUUAUUAUCUAAUAGAGAAUAAUUUCAUUUUGGAGAAUAAUGUACAAAAAGGGUUUACCCCCUUACAGAUUUCUUGUGAUUUAGCUUUUUUGUCACACUUAAAUGUGUUAGAUUGUCCAAUAAAGGUUAAUUUUUAAGAUAACCAGAAUGAAUACAAAAUGCAACUUUUAGAUGAUGAUUUUAUUUAUGAAGGGGUAACAGCUACCAACAUCAUCCUGGCCCUGAAAAAGCAAUUGCCACCUUAACCUAAUUACUGGUAGGGCCAUCAUGGCGGAAACAACUGCCAUCAAGUGUUUAUAAUAAAGUCUUUUACAUUGUUGUGGAAGAUUUUUAGCCUACUCUUUUUUGCAGAGUUGUUUUAAUUCAGAAAUGAUAUUUAAUGUCUGACAUGCUUCUGAGGUAUUAUAAGGUUUAGAGGAAAUAAAUUAAAGCAUAUAGCAACAGAAUGUGCACGUAUGUGUGUCUACAGCUUUUUUAUGUUUAAAGAAAUAGAAUAAAAGAAAGGCAGUUUGUGAUUGUCCAGAUAUGCUUAUUUUGUUUCACAGCAGAGUAGCUGACUACUUCAGCUGUAAGGUGUUCACUGUGUUCAUCAGAAGGACAGCCUGCAGCCUGGGGAAAGAAACUGUCUCUGUGGUAGCUGCUUUUUGCAAAUAGUGUUCUGUAGCGCCGACUUGAAAAGUCUAAAAAGUUUGUGUCCAGGAUGCGUGGGGUCUGCAGAGAUAAUAGCUGCCCUUUUUGUGGCCUGGAAUAUCAGCUAUAUUGUAGGGUUUUCAAGCAUGAAUAGCACUGCCUAAGGUCAUGCCACAGCAUCUCAAUCAGCUUUAGGUCUGGACUUUGACCCAGCCACCCCAAAACCUUCAGUUUGUUUUUUGUCUUGCUAUUUUUUCAGACCCUUGUCCUGCUGAAGAAACCCAAAUAAUAUCAAAUGUUGUUUCUAAUGUGUUGUUGAAUUUCUUUGGUUCGGGGCUUAAUGUGGUGCUUUUUGAGAUCUUUUAGGCUACCUCAUGUUGUCAGACACAUUCUAUUUAGGUGAUCUGUAGCCUCUUCAGGUCAAAGCAGUAAUUAAGCCUGGGAGUGGCAAGUAAGAAUCAAGCAAGCUUUUUAAAAAAACACUGGCGAAUCACACUUAAUUCAUUAUUUAUAAAAGGGGAGGGAUUACUUUUUCCACAGAAAGGCAGGUGUGUUUGCAUAGCUCUUUGCCCGAAUAAAUAAAAUCAUCAUUUGAAAUCUGUGUGUUGUGAAUACCCAGUUUGUCUUUAAAAAUACAAUUUGUUUUGAUGAUUUGAAUAUUUGAGAUUGGCACCGAGUGGGGCAACUAAAAGAUCCCUUCUCCCUAUUUCAGUGUCCAAAUUGACUGUCAAGCGCCUGCAAUACUAAAUUUAAUUAUGAUGAUUUUGAAAACUCCUCUCAAACCAGAAAAUAAAAGUGUUAAUUAGA